rnacentral:tRNA from 1 species
GGGCCGGUAGCUUAGCUUGGUGGAGCGCCUGACUUUUACAUCCUUUAUGGAUGCCAAAAGCGAUGCUUUUGUGCACGUAAAAGUGAGGAGAUCAGGAGGUCGGGGGUCCAAAUCCCCUCCGGCCCG